UACGUAGGGUGCAAGCGUUAAUCGGAAUUACUGGGCGUAAAGCGUGCGCAGGCGGUGAUGUAAGACAGAUGGGAAAUCCCCGGGCUCAACCUGGGAACUGCAUUUGUGACUGCAUCGCUGGAGUACGGCAGAGGGGGAUGGAAUUCCGCGUGUAGCAGUGAAAUGCGUAGAUAUGCGGAGGAACACCGAUGGCGAAGGCAAUCCCCUGGGCCUGCACUGACGCUCAUGCACGAAAGCGUGGGGAGCAAACAGG
rnacentral:rRNA from 1 species